AGAUUGAACGCUGGCGGCAUGCCUUACACAUGCAAGUCGAACGGCAGCACGGGAGCAAUCCUGGUGGCGAGUGGCGAACGGGUGAGUAAUACAUCGGAACGUGCCCAGUUGUGGGGGAUAGCCCGGCGAAAGCCGGAUUAAUACCGCAUACGACCUACGGGUGAAAGCGGGGGAUCGCAAGACCUCGCGCAAUUGGAGCGGCCGAUGGCAGAUUAGCUUGUUGGUGGAGUAAAAGCCUACCAAGGCGACGAUCUGUAGCUGGUCUGAGAGGACGACCAGCCACACUGGGACUGAGACACGGCCCAGACCUCCGUACGGGAGCAG
rnacentral:rRNA from 1 species